rnacentral:rRNA from 1 species
AUGAUACUGAACCUCAUGCCCUAUCGAGCAUCUUAUCCCAUCUUAAAGUUGGUUUAUUCGGCAGCCGCAAAUGCUAAUCAUUACUUUCUUCAUUCAACUCAGUUCAAAAAAGAUACCUCAAAAUACUUCAAUUGGUACGCGCAGUCAAAAUAUGGUUCUUAUGGGCGGUUUAAGAAAAUACAUUCCAAUCACAAGAACUACUUUUUUAUGGGGCUUCACAAUUACUAG